GAACCAGGAAGCAGACGACAGGAGCCAGGUACCAGGUCGUGAACACUGAAUUUCUGGCGCUGAUGAGCUGUUGGACCAGGGUUUUUAUGGAGGCAGGUUGAUUGUAGACAGAUGUGCUCAUCAGCUCCACAAGGAAUACCACCUGGAAGAGAGAGAGAGAGAGCAAAG